rfam:Triticum aestivum genome assembly, contig: Triticum_aestivum_CS42_TGACv1_scaffold_693847_T_1DS-0.044561_1AS-0.022655
GGAUGCGAUCAUACUAGCACUAAAGCACCGGAUCCCAUCAGAACUCCGAAGUUAAGCGUGCUUGGGCGAGAGUAGUACUAGGAUGGGUGACCUCCUGGGAAGUCCUCGUGUUGCAUUCC